rnacentral:rRNA from 1 species
GGGACACGUGGUAUCCUGUCUGAAUAUGGGGGGACCAUCCUCCAAGGCUAAAUACUCCUGACUGACCGAUAGUGAACCAGUACCGUGAGGGAAAGGCGAAAAGAACCCCGGCGAGGGGAGUGAAAAAGAACCUGAAACCGUGUACGUACAAGCAGUGGGAGCACGCUUAGGCGUGUGACUGCGUACCUUUUGUAUAAUGGGUCAGCGACUUAUAUUCUGUAGCAAGGUUAACCGAAUAGGGGAGCCGAAGGGAAACCGAGUCUUAACUGGGCGUUAAGUUGCAGGGUAUAGACCCGAAACCCGGUGAUCUAGCCAUGGGCAGGUUGAAGGUUGGGUAACACUAACUGGAGGACCGAACCGACUAAUGUUGAAAAAUUAGCGGAUGACUUGUGGCUGGGGGUGAAAGGCCAAUCAAACCGGGAGAUAGCUGGUUCU